rnacentral:rRNA from 1 species
GCGAACGCUGGCGGCAGGCUUAACACAUGCAAGUCGAGCGGGCGUAGCAAUACGUCAGCGGCAGACGGGUGAGUAACGCGUGGGAACGUACCUUUUGGUUCGGAACAACACAGGGAAGCUUGUGCUAAUACCGGAUAAGCCCUUACGGGGAAAGAUUUAUCGCCGAAAGAUCGGCCCGCGUCUGAUUAGCUAGUUGGUGAGGUAACGGCUCACCAAGGCGACGAUCAGUAGCUGGUCUGAGAGGAUGAUCAGCCACAUUGGGACUGAGACACGGUCCAAACUCCUACGGGAGGCAGCAGUGGGUAAUAUUGGACAAUGGGCGCAAGCCUGAUCCAGCCACGCCGCGUGAGUGAUGAAGGCCCUAGGGUUGUAAAGCGCUUUUGUGCGGGAAGAUAAUGACGGUACCGCAAGAAUAAGCCCCGGCUAACUUCGU